GCGAAUGGCGGGACGCUCUCCCGCAGGGGGGCGGCGCCGCCGGCCGGACGUCCUCGAGGCGGACCGAGCCGGAGCGCUCGCGUCGGGACCCGAAAGGUGGUGAUCUAUCCGUGCGCGCGGCGAAGCCGGGGGAAACCCCGGUGGAGGCCCGUCGACGGUACUGACGUGCAAAAUCGUUCGUCCGACGUGCGAAUAGGGGCGAAAGACCAAUCGAACCUCCUAGUAGCUGGUUUCCGCCGAAAUUUCCCUCAGGAUAGCGGCCAUCGCGGAAACGUUUUGACCGGUAGAGCGAACGACUAGAGGUACCGGGGCCGUAACGGCCUCGACCUAUUCUCGAACUCCGAACGGGCAAGGAGCCGGGGUCGCCCGAUCGGACCCCGGACGUGAAGUCGACGAUGGUCGGUGGGCUGGUUUUUGGUAAGCAGAACGGGCGAUUCGGGAUGAACCGGAAGCGGGGAG
rnacentral:rRNA from 1 species